rnacentral:rRNA from 1 species
AGGCAAGGUGUGUAAGUGCGGCAACGUAUUGAGCUAACUUGUACUAAUUACCCGUGAGGCUUAACCAUACAACACCUAAGUAGU